rnacentral:rRNA from 1 species
CCUACGGGAGGCUGCAGUGAGGAAUAUUGGUCAAUGGACGAGAGUCUGAACCAGCCAAGUAGCGUGAAGGAUGACUGCCCUAUGGGUUGUAAACUUCUUUUAUAUGGGAAUAAAAUGUUCCCCGUGUGGGAUUUUGUAUGUACCAUAUGAAUAAGGAUCGGCUAACUCCGUGCCAGCAGCCGCGGUAAUACGGAGGAUCCGAGCGUUAUCCGGAUUUAUUGGGUUUAAAGGGAGCGUAGGUGGAUUGUUAAGUCAGUUGUGAAAGUUUGCGGCUCAACCGUAAAAUUGCAGUUGAAACUGGCAGUCUUGAGUACAGUAGAGGUGGGCGGAAUUCGUGGUGUAGCGGUGAAAUGCUUAGAUAUCACGAAGAACUCCGAUUGCGAAGGCAGUUCACUGGACUGCAACUGACACUGAGGCUCGAAAGUGUGGGUAUCAAACAGGAUUAGAUACCCUUGUAGUC